UACGAAGGGGGCUAGCGUUGCUCGGAAUGACUGGGCGUAAAGGGCGCGUAGGCGGCGCAGUUAGUCAGGCGUGAAAUUCCUGGGCUCAACCUGGGGACUGCGCUUGAUACGGCUGUGCUUGAGGAUGGAAGAGGCCCGCGGAAUUCCCAGUGUAGAGGUGAAAUUCGUAGAUAUUGGGAAGAACACCGGUGGCGAAGGCGGCGAGCUGGUCCGAUACUGACGCUGAGGUGCGAAAGCGUGGGGAGCAAACAGG
rnacentral:rRNA from 1 species